UCGGCGGGCCGUGACUGGCGUUCGGGUGGAUCACCACCGGGGAGCGGCCCGGCGUACUGCGCACUCCGGUACGUCGACUGCCGCGCGCCUGGGCGAACCGC
rnacentral:ncRNA from 2 species